rnacentral:rRNA from 1 species
AACGAACGCUGGCGGCAUGCCUAACACAUGCAAGUCGAACGAGACCUUCGGGUCUAGUGGCGCACGGGUGCGUAACGCGUGGGAAUCUGCCCUUGGGUUCGGAAUAACAGCGAGAAAUUGCUGCUAAUACCGGAUGAUGACGUAAGUCCAAAGAUUUAUCGCCCAAGGAUGAGCCCGCGUAGGAUUAGCUAGUUGGUGAGGUAAAGGCUCACCAAGGCGACGAUCCUUAGCUGGUCUGAGAGGAUGAUCAGCCACACUGGGACUGAGACACGGCCCAGACUCCUACGGGAGGCAGCAGUGGGGAAUAUUGGACAAUGGGCGAAAGCCUGAUCCAGCAAUGCCGCGUGGGUGAUGAAGGCCUUAGGGUUGUAAAGCUCUUUUACCCGGGAUGAUAAUGACAGUACCGGGAGAAUAAGCUCCGGCUAACUCCGUGCCAGCAGCCGCGGUAAU